CCUCUUUUAAGAACCUCCAACAUUUUUCGGACACCCUGUAUAUAGUUUCAAUUAGACAUUUGACAACACUAAAACACAAUUGCAAUAAACAUUUAAAUAUUUACCUUUAAAGAAUACCUAAAAUCUAAAUUAAUCAAAUAUUCAUGACGCAACCAUUACGAUAUCUACAAUAUAUAAAAUAAUAAAAAUAAGAGUGGAAAAUUAAUCUAAACCUAGAAACAGCACUAAUAUUCCCAGAAACAUGUGCAAAAUACCAUCAAUUAUUUUAAGGACACCAAACUUUACAGUAGUACAUAACACCGUUAAUUAAUCAGAAACCCAAUCGAAUUCGUUUCUAAUUAAACUUUUAUUCGUGCUGUAGAUGCGACGUAAAAUAAAUCCAUAUAAAAAAAAAAUGUAGAUAAUGAGAAAAAAUGAAAAUGUUAACAGGAAAAGGGGAUAUAAUCAACAAAAACCUCACUAUAAAAUAAAGAAAUAAAAUAAAAUAAAAAAAGAUCAAUUAACUUCGAAGAAAGAAAUCGUUGAAUGUAGCUAUGAUCUUCGGCGCGUCCUUCCUCUAUAUUAAAGCCUUUAAUUUAAAGGAACACUCGUGCCUGGCUGUUAAUUCGAAUAAUGGAAUUACCGUCGUGCAAAUAGUGCCUGUCACUCUGUUCGUUUCAAGAGUAGAAGUUUCACCUACAAAGGCGUCACUCGAUGGAACUAAAUGUCGUGGUCUGUAAGUACGUGUCCCGCGUAACUAACGCGGCACAAUAUUCCGAUGCAGCCGAGUAAAUUUCAUAAACGUUCCCUUGACAUUGCCGGUAGCAACAACCGUGACACAUUAAUGUCACAGGGUGCCACGGAACGGUGCAACUCACCUUUCGUGGCGGUUGCGUAACCGUACACGAUGCACCGCAUUAAUUCCGCGAGGACCUCGAGGUGUUCGCACGCAGUGCCGUAACGAGUCCACGAAGGGCCCGUGGCAAUUCUGCGUUCCAAGACCGAUAGCGACGCCAUGUCCCAAAAGCGGCCAAAUUAAGAACUAAUAAUCACUCAUAACUGCGUGAUAGGGAUUGGGACUGAGUGGAACACGCAAUCAGAAAUUAUGUAAAAACACAAGAUAUAAAGCAAAAAAAAGCAAGAGAUUCGAAAUUUGUAUCAUUAUAUAUAUGUUUCCAAGCAAUCCUCAACUUCUAGAGGAAUGAAUCCAAGCUUUACUCGCUUUCAUUGGCCAGAACAGUGCUUUAAGCUUGCAUACCCUGCAAUGGAAAUAAACUACUACUACUACAGCGCUUUAAGUUUGCCAAAAAUGACAAUUAUUGACAAUCAUUUUAUUGGGUCUUCGAGUUCCAAAGAAAUUAAACCUAAAGAAAACCUAGUGGUGACUGAGAGUCACCUCUCGAGUGCAAAGGGUUAACCAUUUAACUGUGCCAUCAAGGAAAGAUACAUAUUUAUAUUUCUCAGGUUUCCAAGCAAUCCUCAACUUCUAGAGGAAUGGGUCCAAGCUUUACUCACUUCGAAUAACCAGAACAGUGCUUUAAGCUUGCCAAAAAUGGCAUCGAUACAUGCAGAGCACUUUGAUAAAGCAUGUUUUUCAUAAAAUCACCAUUUGUGUCAUCACAAAUUUGAAUAUUGAAAGCUUAUUUCAAAAUUUUAAUGCCCAUAUUAAAGCCCACGUGCUUAUUACGGCACUGUCCGUACGUUGCACGCUUAUGCAUAGCGUUACAUCAUAAAAUGAAUGCAACUACUUCACAAUGAUCUCGUAACCUUGAAACGUGAUGCCAAUGUUGAUCAUUCAAUGUUAAAUGCUUCCAUUACUGGUUCACUUCCGGAGACAAUUAUAACAAACUGAUUAGCGCUGAUAAAACACGCUGGACAGUAAAUUGAAGAAGAUUAUGAUUGAAGAAAAUUAUGUUUAUACCAUUAAGGACAAUUGUUAAUAAAAAAUAUUAUAUUCAUGGCACUAAAAAAUAAUAUGAUUCAAGAAAAUUGUGUUUAUGCCAUUGAUGAAUAAUAAGAAUGAAGAAAAUCAUGUUUAUACCAGUAAGGACAAUUAUUAAUGAAAAGUAUUAUGUUUAUAUCAUUGAAAAAUAAUAUGAUUGAAGAAAAUUGUGUUUACGCCAUUGAUGAAUAAUAUGAAUGAAGAAUUCAUUCAGAAUAAUGCAGUAAAGUGUAUUGAUAGUUCGUAUCCUUUAUUUUAAAAGCAAAGGACAAAUUCUAUUAAUAUAUGAUACGUCUUUGUUGUAAACAAAAUUAUACAAAUUAAGAAGUUCAAUGAAAAUACAAAUACCAGGUGUAAACUAUAAUGAUUCCAAGUGCUGUUAUUAAUUUAACUUUCAAUUAAAAAUCUUAUAUUUCAAAGAACCUAGUUACUAUAGAAGUACACAAAAUUUUAAUCUGUAAGGAACUUAAUUUUGUUUAUUAAUUUCAUCAUAUUUUAAUUAGGCGAGUCCGUAGUGCUUAGGAAAGAAAAAUAAUACUAAUCAUAAAAUAUAAUUUUCCUUUGACCAAAAAUAAAACAGAAAAUUCACGAAUACGUAAAUAAAGAUACAUAGAUAAUCACUUCAAUUAACUGAUUAUAUAUAAUGAAAAUAAGUUUCUCUAAAAGACUCUACACAAACAAAAUAAAAUAAAUAUGAUUCAUGAAAUUAAUAAAUUCCAUAAAAAUUAAUAAAAGAUAAAAUCAAUUGGAAAUCUGCUUUUAUAAAUACUAAUUCUUUAAUCAUACAUUAAUGAUUUAAUCAUACAUAUAAUAAGAAAAAUAAUAAUUGAACGAAGUAAAUAUUAGUUGGAAGAAACAAGGCUCCAAAAGUUCUAGGAGACUCCCUAAAUUCAAGAAAAACAAAGAGUCUCGUCUUCAAAGCACCGACUGGAGCAAUCUUCUCUAAAAGAAAGAAACCAGAUAACCCAAUAAUAGGUAUAAUUCGGUUGGAAGUAAUCGAUGAAGUACAGAGAAGAUUUAAAAGAAAUACAGGAACAUCGUAUUUAUAAAAUGAUUACUAAAGCUAACUGCGUUGGCGUAACGAAGCGUUAACUUGUACUGCGACGACGUCAGAGAUAAUAUCAGCCACUUAACAAGCUAUUGCGUCGGUUAUAAGGUGUGCUUUUUAUUCCAAAUGAAUCCAAACAUAAUUUUAACACUGUUCAUUCACCUAAAAUCCAGGAAACGCGAAGGCCGUCCAAAGCCCUCGAAGGGUGGGAUUUAAAUGCAUCGAACCUUGAGAGGAACCACUCCGAACUUAUUGAUUGGACGUAAUUAAACCGGAUCAGCUGUGCGCACGUUAAUCACACCGUCUGGCUAGGUCGUUCGUUUUGUAACGGGUAAAUACGUCGAACGAGAUAAGCCUUGACCGAUUAAGUCGGUGGUUCUUAACCUUUUCCACGCUAUCGAAGCUCAAUUAUCAGGAAUUCAAGCAUCACUUUUUCAAUCAAGUUCCAAGUAUGCUAAUCCGAAGAAACAUUGCUUUAACUUAUUUUGGAUUGCUGGAACAUCAAACUUGGGAACUCUUCAAGUGAUAUUAUUCGAAAUAUCAUUUAUUUAUGUAUAUAUAUUUAUAUAUAAUAAAUUUAUUUGUAAAUAUUAAAUCUAUAAUUUAAUUAAAAAAUACAUGUAUGUAGAUUUUGGGAUGAUCGAGGGUGGUGAAUAAAUUAGACACGUGAGAAACUUGUAAAUAUAAUAUAAUUAAUAAUAUAAGAUUGAAAUGGUAUAAAAGAAACCUGACGAAACACGUCCAAACGUACUGUUAUACACUCAUAGUAAAUAUUUUUCGCUAUUACUCAUUCCUGACCCUUCAGCUUUCAAACUCUUCUUCCUUUCUCAUACAGUUAUACCCCAAAGUCCAGUUUCCGAAAUCCAUAAAUGGCCCCAGUUUUCCAUCCGGCAGUUAUCAGUUUUACCGCGCGCAUACCAGUUUGUAUCACCGAAUUUUAUAAUAAAGUAUUGUUUUCCGCUAACGUCGGUCUUUAAUUGAAUAAUAUCAAGUGAGACCCUAUCUCCUGUCGACGAUAUCGAGGUAUCAGGGCCGGCGUUAGGAGAGGGGGGGGGGCGCCAGAUUUUUGGGAGCGUCGCAGUCCUGUGUCCCUAUUAUACGAAUAUACCGAUAUACAGGGUGUACCUAGUAUACGAAUAUACCGAUAUACAGGGUAUCCCAAAAAUGUUGUAACACAUUCAAAGAGGUGGUUCGGGAGGUGAUUUGAAACAACUUUUUCCUUAGCGAAAAUAUUGUCCGAGGCUUCGUUGAGGAGAUAUUAACGGAUAACACUGACCAAUUAGAGCACGCGAAUACCGUUGGAGCGCUCUGAUUGGUCGGUGUUUUCUGUUGAUAUC